rnacentral:misc_RNA from 1 species
CGCAAGAUCGCGAAAACAUAAGUUCAGAUUGUACAUAAAUUCAUCCAGGCAAAGGGUCUCUUAACAGCUUCAGUUUUAACACUUACAUACAGAAAACGUUCUGCAGGUUUUAAGUUUUGCAAAUAUCUAAUAACAUUUUUGCACUCAAAUCUUUUUCACAUGUAAAAAUGGUUCUUCCUGGUCCCAACUUCACAGACUUUCAGAGCCUUCAACUUCUGGUGUAAGCAUCAUCAACUAAUCGAUUCUGCAUCUGAGACGUUUAUAUGCAGCGUUGGAAGAACGUUUCUCCUACAUAUCCUCCAGACAUUGCCCUUCUGACAUUGGACUCGAACAAGCUGGGGUUGUCACUCAACACAGCAGCUGCUUCAUGAUUGAGGGGAUCCUCGUGAUUGGGUUCCGUGAACAAAUGAUACAAGCCAUAGAUUAUUGUGUUGAUGUUGAGCACAGGUUUCCAGUCUUCUCGAAGAAUGUUG